rnacentral:misc_RNA from 1 species
UCAAAAAAAAAAAAAAAAAACUUUCUGGAUUCUUCUCCUCACCUGACCUUUCUAGCUCAAUUUCACAGUGACACCCACCGAGCUAAAAAAAUCUCAGCUUCUUCUUGCUGAAGGAAGCACCACACCUGUCACACUUACCCUUUUUCACAUGCACACUCUUCUUGCCCUAUUCAGAUAUACCCACAUAGGGAGAACAUAGUGAUUUUGUAUAUUUCUAACCCAUCUGUUUUCUAAACACACCACCAACUGAUAAGUGAAAACAUCGCAUCCAAUUUCUUCCUCAACGACAUAGCCUUUGUUGGAUUCUUCGUGGGGUUCGUACAAUGUCAGGGUCCGGUGGGGUUUCGAUUGCCCGAGCUCGCGGUGAGAACCGAUUCUAUGUUUCUCCG